rnacentral:rRNA from 1 species
UACGUAGGGUGCGAGCGUUGUCCGGAAUUAUUGGGCGUAAAGCGCGUGUAGGCGGUCCGGUAAGUCCGCUGUGAAAGUCGGGGGCUCAACCCUCGGAUGCCGGUGGAUACUGUCGGCUUGAGUACGGAAGAGGCGAGUGGAAUUCCUGGUGUAGCGGUGAAAUGCGCAGAUAUCAGGAGGAACACCAAUUGCGAAGGCAGCUCGCUGGACGUUACUGACGCUGAGACGCGAAGCGUGGGAGCAACAGG